rnacentral:rRNA from 1 species
AUACGUAGGUGGCAAGCGUUGUCCGGAAUUACUGGGUGUAAAGGGCGUGUAGGCGGGAAAGCAAGUCAGAAGUGAAAUCCCAUGGCUUAACUGUGGAGCUGCUUCUGAAACUGUUUUUCUUGAGUGCUGGAGAGGAAAGUGGAAUUCCCAGUGUAGCGGUGAAAUGCGUAGAGAUUGGGAGGAACACCAGUGGCGAAGGCGGCUUUCUGGACAGUAACUGACGCUGAGGCGCGAAAGCGUGGGGAGC